CACGUCAGCGCGCUUUGCUGACGUUGCAAUAAAUCGCGCCCACGUAAGCGCGAUUUGUGUCCACGUCAGCAAAGCGCGCUGACAUAA
rfam:Gossypium hirsutum cultivar TM-1 chromosome 19, whole genome shotgun sequence